AGGGAAAUAGGCUUUAGGGAACAUUCUAAUCCCCAGAAACAAUUGGCCAGAUUGUGAAGACGGCUACACACCAGCUCAAGGUUCAAAGAGAAGACAUAUUCAGUGUUUCUGCACAUCAGCUUUGAUCAUUUAGUACACUUCACAAACACAGGAUCUUUGUGAAGGAGUGUGAGCUGGAGGGGCAACUGUCACCUGCAUGGGUGAAGAAGAAGUGGAGGAACCUUAGGCUUAAACAAAAAAUAAACUGCAUCUUUGGGCUCCUCUCCCUCCCAGAAGGGUCCAGAUGUGGAGGCUGGAGAAGGAGGUGACUGCCAGGGAGGCCUUGAUUAAAAGUAGUUUUAUGUAGUUUGUAUGCAUUUUAUUUAUAGCUAUUAAUGUAUUCAUGUUCUACUAUUUUUGGUGAAGUCCACUUUUUUUA
rnacentral:lncRNA from 1 species